rnacentral:rRNA from 2 species
GUGCUAUACAUGCAAGUCGUACGCACUGGCCCAACUGAUUGAUGGUGCUUGCACCAUGAUUGACGAUGGAUCACCAGUGAGUGGCGGACGGGUGAGUAACACGUAGGUAACCUGCCCCGGAGCGGGGGAUAACAUUUGGAAACAGAUGCUAAUACCGCAUAACAACAAAAGCCACAUGGCUUUUGUUUGAAAGAUGGCUUCUGGCUAUCACUCUGGGAUGGACCUGCGGUGCAUUAGCUAGUUGGUAAGGUAACGGCUUACCAAGGCGAUGAUGCAUAGCCGAGUUGAGAGACUGAUCGGCCACAAUGGAACUGAGACACGGUCCAUACUCCUACGGGAGGCAGCAGUAGGGAAUCUUCCACAAUGGGCGCAAGCCUGAUGGAGCAACACCGCGUGAGUGAAGAAGGGUUUCGGCUCGUAAAGCUCUGUUGUUGGAGAAGAACGUGCGUGAGAGUAACUGUUCACGCAGUGACGGUAUCCAACCAGAAAGUCACGGCUAACUACGUGCCAGCAGCCGCGGUAAUACGUAGGUGGCAAGCGUUAUCCGGAUUUAUUGGGCGUAAAGCGAGCGCAGGCGGUUGCUUAGGUCUGAUGUGAAAGCCUUCGGCUUAACCGAAGAAGUGCAUCGGAAACCGGGCGACUUGAGUGCAGAAGAGGACAGUGGAACUCCAUGUGUAGCGGUGGAAUGCGUAGAUAUAUGGAAGAACACCAGUGGCGAAGGCGGCUGUCUGGUCUGCAACUGACGCUGAGGCUCGAAAGCAUGGGUAGCGAACAGGAUUAGAUACCCUGGUAGUCCAUGCCGUAAACGAUGAGUGCUAGGUGUUGGAGGGUUUCCGCCCUUCAGUGCCGGAGCUAACGCAUUAAGCACUCCGCCUGGGGAGUACGACCGCAAGGUUGAAACUCAAAGGAAUUGACGGGGGCCCGCACAAGCGGUGGAGCAUGUGGUUUAAUUCGAAGCUACGCGAAGAACCUUACCAGGUCUUGACAUCUUGCGCUAACCUUAGAGAUAAGGCGUUCCCUUCGGGGACGCAAUGACAGGUGGUGCAUGGUCGUCGUCAGCUCGUGUCGUGAGAUGUUGGGUUAAGUCCCGCAACGAGCGCAACCCUUGUUACUAGUUGCCAGCAUUAAGUUGGGCACUCUAGUGAGACUGCCGGUGACAAACCGGAGGAAGGUGGGGACGACGUCAGAUCAUCAUGCCCCUUAUGACCUGGGCUACACACGUGCUACAAUGGACGGUACAACGAGUCGCAAGCUCGCGAGAGUAAGCUAAUCUCUUAAAGCCGUUCUCAGUU